GACAGAGGGUGCAAACGUUGUUCGGAAUUACUGGGCGUAAAGAGUGUGUAGGCGGUGCUCUAAGUUCGGUGUGAAAUCUCCCGGCUUAACUGGGAGGGUGCGCCGGAAACUGGAGUGCUUGAGCGCGGGAGAGGAAAGCGGAAUUCCUGGUGUAGCGGUGAAAUGCGCAGAUAUCAAGAGGAACACCAGUGGCGAAGGCGAGUCCCUGGACAAAUCCUGACACUGAGGCACGAAAGCUAGGGGAGCAAACAGG
rnacentral:rRNA from 1 species